ACCAGACUCCUACGGGAGGCAGCAGUGAGGAAUAUUGGUCAAUGGUCGGGAGACUGAACCAGCCAAGCCGCGUGAGGGAGGAAGGUACAGAGUAUCGUAAACCUCUUUUGUCAGGGAACAAAGACUGGGACGCGUCCCCGGAUGAGUGUACCUGAAGAAAAAGCAUCGGCUAACUCCGUGCCAGCAGCCGCGGUAAUACGGAGGAUGCGAGCGUUAUCCGGAUUUAUUGGGUUUAAAGGGUGCGCAGGCGGAGGUGCAAGUCAGUGGUCAAAUUGCGGGGCUCAACCCCGUACUGCCGUUGAAACUGCAUCCCUUGAGUGCGCGAGAAGUAUGCGGAAUGCGUGGUGUAGCGGUGAAAUGCAUAGAUAUCACGCAGAACUCCGAUUGCGAGGGCAGCAUACCGGCGCUCAACUGACGCUGAAGCACGAAGGCGUGGGUAUCGAACAGGAUUAGAUACCCCAGUA
rnacentral:rRNA from 1 species